GAGCCUUGUUUGAAUACUUAGAAGACUCUACUGCAAUGUAGUUAUUGCAGCUCCUCAGGACUCCUAUUUCUUCCCACUGUCUCUCUGGGUUAAGAGAGAAUUCAUCUGACAGACUGCACAGCUCUUUUAUCUCAGUCGUUGCCUUGAACUGACUCAGAGCCUAUUCCAGAUGAACCAGUGCCAAUAAUCCAACCUACUUCAACUGUGGGAAGGUUAGAACCUCACUGAAAGAAAAAAAUGUCUUCCUUGAGCACUCUCGUUCUAUGAACAAUGAACUCAAAACAUCUUGCAGCAGAAUAUUCCUCAGCUUAAUUACAAUGUGCCAGGGAACUCACCUCAGUCUGGUUGUUUUGAACCUGUCACCUCCUAUCUUUAACUGAUGUUGCCAUUACCUGUACUUCAGGUCCUUCUAAAAAGGCUCUUCCCAUCUUCGUUUUAAGCUCUCCUUAAAUACGGAAAGGCUGCAAUAUGGUCUCCCUGGAGCCUUCUCUUCUCCAGUCUGAACAACCCCAACUCUCUCAGCUUCUCUUCAUGGAUGAGAUGUUCCAGCCCUCCGAUCAGUUUCUGGCCCUCCUCUGGACCCGUUCUAACAGCUCCAUGUUUUAUUUUGCUGGGAACACCAGAGCUGAAUGCAGUACUGCAGUCUCAUGAGAGAAGAGUAGAGGACAAGAAUCACCUCCAUCAACCUGCUAGUCAUGCUAAAUUCAGAUAGAGUGUGGUUUUUUUUUUAAAUAUUAUUCAGAAAUUCUGUUAUGUAAUAAGCCAGUUCUGUAGUUUCUUAUUUCUCACAUAGCUGUAUACUUUUACAGGCACAUGUUUAGAAAGCAAAGUCAAAAUAACAACAGCAAUGCCUAAAGAAAAAGUCCACUGAACCAUAGAUCAACUUGUUGUCAAGAGUACUUAUUAAUUUACGUUCUGUAAGCAAAAGUUGUUUUAUUAUGGAGACUGAGAAAUAAAUUAUAUUCUUGUUCUGUAUUCCCCUUCCAGUGUUUUCAUUUCAAAAACAAUGUUAUAAACAAAGACAUUGUCGCUUAGCAACUGUAAAUAUUUCCUUUUUAAACAGAAUGCCUGUAGUUUGAAAUGUAAUGUAAGUUCAGCACAUACUGUAUGUUAAAUUAUUGGAAAAUAAUUGGUUUCCACUUUCUUGUACUUUUUCUCAGAAAUAUAUUUUAUGGGUUACUGUAUAUACCAUUUGUAUAGGGAACAGGAAUUUGUCUAAACUGUAUUCACAUGUAAAGAUCUUGUUAAAUAGACUGUUCGUUAUCCUACAGAUUAAACAAAUAUUUUUUCAGUAAUUAACAUUUUAGUAAAAUUUAUUUUCCUCGAUGUAUAUAGAACAAUCUUAAAUCAAUAGA